rnacentral:rRNA from 1 species
CCAGACUCCUACGGGAGGCAGCAGUGAGGAAUAUUGGACAAUGGUCGGAAGACUGAUCCAGCCAUGCCGCGUGCAGGAUGACGGCCUUAUGGGUUGUAAACUGCUUUUGUAAGGGAAGAAUAAGGGCUACGCGUAGUUUGAUGACGGUACCUUAUGAAUAAGCAUCGGCUAACUUCGUGCCAGCAGCCGCGGUAAUACGGAGGAUGCGAGCGUUAUCCGGAAUCAUUGGGUUUAAAGGGUCUGUAGGCGGGCUGGUAAGUCAGAGGUGAAAGCGCUCAGCUCAACUGAGCAACUGCCUUUGAAACUGUUGGUCUUGAAUGGUUGUGAAGUAGUUGGAAUGUGUAGUGUAGCGGUGAAAUGCUUAGAUAUUACACAGAACACCGAUAGCGAAGGCAUAUUACUAACAAUUAAUUGACGCUGAUGGACGAAAGCGUGGGGAGCGAACAGGAUUAGAUACCCUGGUAGUCCACGCUGUAAACGAUGGAUACUAGCUGUUUGGUUUAAGGAUUGAGUGGCUAAGCGAAAGUGAUAAGUAUCCCACCUGGGGAGUACGUUCGCAAGAAUGAAACUCAAAGGAAUUGACGGGGGCCCGCACAAG